rnacentral:rRNA from 1 species
UACGGAGGGUGCGAGCGUUGUUCGGAAUCACUGGGCGUAAAGCGCGUGUAGGCGGCCCAUUAAGUCUGAUGUGAAAGCCCGGGGCUCACCCCCGGAAGUGCAUUGGAAACUGAUGGACUAGAGUCCCGGAGAGGAGAGUGGAAUUCCUGGUGUAGCGGUGAAAUGCGUAGAUAUCAGGAGGAACACCGGUGGCGAAGGCGGCUCUCUGGACGGUGACUGACGCUGAGACGCGAAAGCGUGGGGAGCAAACAGG